AGUGAUGAUAGAGGUGCAAGGUUCAAGAGUAGUACAUUCGAGGGCGAACAAGUCCAGUGAAAAUGUAUGAAAGGGGAGCUUGCCGAAGUGGAGCGUCGUUGUUUCCGAUGCUGUGCUGGUUUUACAUUUAAGAGAUGUAAGACUGUCGAAUCUAAACGUUUCGGAGAGCUAUCACACAU
rnacentral:ncRNA from 1 species